GUAAAGUGUUCUUUUACAGUUGGAGUUUGACAAUAUAGGAUCUAAGAAUAUUGGAAGAAUAAUAUUACAAAUAACAUUUGGAUAUAUAUACUGUAAUAUAAAGGGAGACUGGUGAAACAAAAUUCAUAGUCAACAGACAGAGAAGGGAUAUCAUUCGUUUUAGAAUAAGUGGUUCACGAUGCCUGCUGCACAUACAACUUACAAAUGUAAGCAGUGCACCAAGGAAUAUCGCCAUUUAACACAUUUAUCAAGACAUAGAAGGACUGAACACGCUCAUCAAAAGCCAUCAUAUCAGUGUGAUUCGUGUCCGAAAUCAUUUACGUACAGUCAUGAUCUUACACGUCACAAGAAAAUACACGAAGGGACCAAUUAUGAAUGUGAAAUAUGUAGUAGGAAAUUUAGCAGAAAAGACAACUUGAAAACCCACAGGGAGACACACAAUGUCAAUCAGUAUGGAGCAGGAGUGGAUACAUCGUCAAAAGAUAAUGUAGAUCGUGAACCAAGUACAGAAGCACCAUCUACAUCAUACGGUGAUUCGGCUCAAAAUGUCAACUCAGACGAGGAUGAGCCAAUGGAGACAGAAACUUCAAAUACGUCAGACGAUGAAAUGUGCGAUUUUGAUGAAGAGGAAGCGUUGAAUGGGACACUACUUGUUAAAAACAUCAAUGCAAGUGGACUCUCCAGAUUUGAUCCCUUGCGUUUUCUGAAAGAAAAGGAGGACAAAGUUAAAUCGAUAUUACAAAAACAAAUGAAGAAGAAAGGUGGCAUAAAAUGGUACGCUUCCAUUAUGGUUCAAUUUAAAAAGCAAAAGAUGGAAGAACGGAACUAGCAUGGCCUCAUUUCAGAGGUCAUUGUCAAAUAGCCUUAAAAAGGGGAGACCUUGACGAAUCCUGGAAAGAUAG
rnacentral:misc_RNA from 1 species